UGGGGAAUCUUGCGCAAUGGGCGAAAGCCUGACGCAGCGACGCCGCGUGGGGGGAGAAGGCCUUCGGGUUGUAAACCUCUUUCAGGAGGGACGAAGCCACUCGGGUUAAUAGCCCAGAGGGUGACGGUACCUCCAGAAGAAGCCCCGGCUAACUACGUGCCCGCAGCCGCGGUAAUACGUAGGGGGCAAGCGUUGUCCGGAAUUAUUGGGCGUAAAGAGCGCGUAGGCGGUCCGAUAAGUCGGCUGUGAAAGUCAGGGGCUCAACCCUUGAAAGCCGGCCGAUACUGUCGGACUAGAGUCCGGAAGAGGCGAGUGGAAUUCCCGGUGUAGCGGUGAAAUGCGCAGAUAUCGGGAGGAACACCAAUGGCGAAGGCAGCUCGCUGGGACGGUACUGACGCUGAGGCGCGAAAGCGUGGGGAGCAAAC
rnacentral:rRNA from 1 species